rnacentral:rRNA from 1 species
AUCUACAGCCACAACAGCCUGAACAUGUCCAAUCUAAUCUGAUCUUGGAAACUAAACAGGGCCAAAACUAGUUAGUACCCAGAAUGGGAGGAAAUAAAACUGGUUGUUUUAAUAC